rnacentral:rRNA from 1 species
UGGGGAAUAUUGCACAAUGGGCGCAAGCCUGAUGCAGCAACGCCGCGUGAGGGAUGACGGCCUUCGGGUUGUAAACCUCUUUUAGCAGGGAAGAAGCGAAAGUGACGGUACCUGCAGAAAAAAGCACCGGCUAACUACGUGCCAGCAGCCGCGGUAAUACGUAGGGUGCAAGCGUUGUCCGGAAUUAUUGGGCGUAAAGAGCUCGUAGGCGGUCUGUCGCGUCUGCUGUGAAAUCCCGAGGCUCAACCUCGGGCCUGCAGUGGGUACGGGCAGACUAGAGUGCGGUAGGGGAGAAUGGAACUCCUGGUGUAGCGGUGGAAUGCGCAGAUAUCAGGAAGAACACCGAUGGCGAAGGCAGUUCUCUGGGCCGUAACUGACGCUGAGGAGCGAAAAGCGUGGGGAGCGAACAGGAUUAGAUACCCUGGUAGUCCACGCCGUAAACGUUGGGCGCUAGAUGUGGGGACCAUUCCACGGUUUCCGUGUCGCAGCUAACGCAUUAAGCGCCCCGCCUGGGGAGUACGGCCGCAAGGCUAAAACU